rnacentral:tRNA from 1 species
AAAUAAGAAGCAAUUUUGCAUUUAAUUUCGACUUAAAAGAAUAGAGGUUUAACCCUCCUUAUUUA